UUAUUUCCUUUUAUUUUCUCUUAACUGAGAAAUAAGACACAGAUACUGAAAACUACACAAAACACAUAUUAAGCUUAGUAACAGACCUCCUUUAACCACCACCCAGGUCAAGAGACAGAUGUGCAGCCACUCCAGCAGGCUGCCCUGUGCCCAUCCCAGAUCCACUGCUCUGCACCCAGGAUAUCUGUGAAGGGCACAUGCUACUUUCUUACUGAUCUCUGUAUGUUUUAGGCUUUUCCCCAGGGAACUGCCAUGUUUGGACACUAGCCACCAGGAAGUUGGCACCAUUAACCCAUUCAAGCAUGUUCUUUCAGUGAGUCCCACACCACAGUGAAAUAAGGUGCCGCCUUUACCAGAGAUGUGGCAUGUUCCCAAGGCCACCACAUGUCCAGGUGUGCCCUGACAGCACACUGGGUGAGCUGUUUGCCCCAAAUCACAUGGUUAAGGAGUACUAUUUUUACCUGGAACUCACGGGCUUUCACCGGCCUGUUUCUCCCGAGUCUUCAUCCCCAUGUAGGGGAUGCGAGCUGUGCAUUACAUCUCAUUCCAAAGUGUACCUGAUUUAUUACAGUUGCCCAGUUCAUGCCGAUGAGUGUUUAUCCACUGCAGUUACAUCUUGUGUUUCUACAGAAAAACACAUGAAUCCAGACAAGACAAAAACCUCGGCCAGUGUGGGGGGUGGUUGUCCCCUCACCAGCUGAUCAGGAGCAAGAGACUACAAAACAGAUGUCCCUGAGUCCCUGAACAGGUGUCAGGAGCAGCACCAGACCCUGGAUCUUUGACGGAAGCCAAUCAUAGGGAAUCUGCUGGCUGUGACGAGGAGGGAGCAAAUUCAUUUGAUCCAAAGUUGAAGAAGAGAAAAGGUGAAAAUGAUGAUGGAGGACAUGGAGGACGGUUGAUCUUAAUUAUGUUCUUUAGGACAUGUAUCACCAUGUAUAUAAAACUUCUGAGCAAACUAAAAUUGCUUUCUCCUUCCUGGUAGAUAAAACUUUAUAGCCUUUUUCUCUUUGGCCGCCAGGAGUGUCAAAGUCACGCCCGCAGCCUGUUCUUGAUACAGUAGGUGCUCGGGGCAGCAUCUCUGCACCUCCAUUCUUCCUAUUCCCUCUGCUUUGUAUUUAGAAGUGUUUUCUGGGCUUAAAUUCAGCAGAAGAGACCCAAAAGAAAAGACUGGCAGAUCAGCAAAAUUUUAAAACCUCUCUAUGAAAAAGGAAAACAUACACACUAACUGAGAGAGUGUGGUACUGAGGACAGUCCCAUGGAUCCAAUGAACAGAGUCCAGAAGUAAAUGGCGGCACUUACAUAAAAGGAUUUUUGACAAGGAGGCCAGUUUCAUGGGGGAAGGAACAGUCUUUCCAACAAAUACUGGGACAACUGGAUAAUCACACGCAUUUAGAAUUAAGUAGAAUCCCUACCUCAUAUGUAUACAAAAGUUAACUCCAAAUGGAUCAAAGACUUAAACGUAAGCUGAAACUACAAAACUUUUAGAAGAAAACAGGUAUAAAUCAUCAUGACCUUGGAUUAGGCAACAGUUUCCAAAAGCAACAAAAGAAAAAAAUAGAUUGGAGUCCAUCAAAAUUAAAAACUCUUGUGCUUCAAAAGACGUCAUCCAGAAAGUCAAAGGACAACCCACAGAAUGAGAGAAAUAUCUCCAAAUCGUAUUAUCCAAUGAGGGACUUUCGGUUGAAAGAACUCUUACAACUCAAUAAUACAAACACCAAUAGCUUAAAAAAAAAAAAAGAAAACCAGAGGAUCCUAAUAAAUAAAAAUUUCUCCAAAGGAAAUAGCACAUAUGGCCAAUAAGCACUGAAGAUUUAAGUGAGGAAGCAAAUCACCUUGUGUUCAUACCAAUUUCUGGAAUCAUGGAAUGCAAAUGCAAAAAAAAAAGAGUGUGCCUAAGCAAAGAUGCUUCUCGUUCACUCUUCAGAUACUGAGUACUUCUGUGUGGGAAGCUGGCUCCUGCUGGGGAGAGAACAUUGAAAACAGACUCUUCUUCCGACCCAGAAACCUCCAUAAAGGCAGGAAACCUCUGGGUUACUGAAGAGGCCUUAAAGCGGAACGCGAUGUGCAUCACGGGCCAUCGACGAAGGCAGCAGAAAUCUCGGAUUCCGUGUGUCACACGCGUGCCCGAACCGAGCCGGUACUUGCUGGACCUCCAGGAAGCGGCCUCGACGGGGCUGCCGACCGCCGCGGCUCCUCCCCCGGCGCGCCGGGCCACACGGCCGCCCCAGUCUCUGCCCGGUUUGCCCAGGGCAGAAACGCCCCUCUCCUCUGUGUGGCGGGAGCCACUGUGCAACUCGGAACGAGCCGGCCGCUACGGUCGGGGUCCUAGGAAACGGGGGUGGGCGCCUUCCGCUGACACUGCGAGCAGGUGGCACCGGGGCCCUCGGGCCGGGCCUCCAGCUUCCGGGCCCCAGGGCCGACCCAGGCCUGGCUCGUCCGCAAGGAGCAAGAGGAGACGCGCGCCGCGUCCUCGACACCCGCCGCGAGGCUCCGCUUGGGGCUCCCGGAGGGGGCAGGGCCGGAGGAACCGGGAGCUGGAAGUUGAAUUUAGGGCGAGUCUCUCCAAGAGGGACUCCGAAGGAGGGCGCGGGGGGUGCGCAGACCCAGCACGGGUCCCACCGCCGAGCACGAAGCCUUCCCCCAAGUGGGAAGCUCCGUCACUGCCCCGGGACCCCGAGGCGGGCGUGGUCUC
rnacentral:lncRNA from 1 species